CUGGGCUGAUGAGUGCGUAGCUAAGAUAGCUAUGUUAGGUUAACUGGCUACAUAUUUCUUUCUCAUAUGCUAUAUAAUUUUCCCCAACCCCGUGUAAAUUAGGAAACAAAAUGGCUAACGCGGUUUUAAAUGAGGUUGGUUGGGACGACGGUUUUGCCAUUCCAGUAGCUAAUGCAGAAAAUAAGGCUGUGGAGGAUGAGAUUAAAAGAAAACAAAAAGAGAAGUCAGAAGUGGAAAAUAAAUUAAGCAACUGCAAGGACAGAAUAAAUGCUAUGACUGAACAUCUUAAGAACGUCAGACAAGAACUUGGUCAUACUCAGGCACUGUGCAGGGCCAGAGAAAAAGAGAACGAGUCUGAGGUGCAUUUCAAAGCUUUGGCAGAAAGAGAAACGGGCCGUCUACGUCAGGAAAUUGCACAGCUGGAGAAUGAGCUGGGAUCACUUCGUGAAAAAAAGAACUCACAGGAGAACAACAUCUUCAAAGCCAACCAGAAGCUAGAGGAGCUGAAGAGCCAGUUGAACUGGGACCAACAGACCCUGGACGCUUGGUUGGAGGAGUCGGCGCGCAGGGACGAGGACACCAUGGCCAUCGCCAAGUACGCUCAGCAGGACGAAGGCAGGAUCCGAGAACUGACUCUAAGCAUUGAGAAGCUGACUCUGGAAGCUAACCAGAAGAGGAAGGCUUUGGACAGUGAGCUUACAGAGACUAUCACAGCACAGAUCAGCCUGGAUAAGAUUGCCGAGACAUUCCGGCAGGCCCAUGCAGAGAGGCAGGAGCUGCUUCGGCAGUGGGAGAGCACUAUUGAGCAGAUGAGGAGACGAGACCAGGAGAUGCAGCAGGGCACUAUGCUGUUGGCUGAGGCAAACCAGGCGAUCCGUCAGCGGCAGGCGCUGGUCCAGGAGAAGCAGAGUUUCCUGUCCAGCGAGGUGCAGAACAACAGGGACUGUGAGAGGAAGAUCUCAGCGACAGAGCGGCAGGCUGCCCAGCUCCGGCAGCAGUACCAGGAGCAGGAGAAUGACCGUGCCCGUCUGCGUGAUGAGCUGGAGACUCUGAAGGGCACAGUGGAUCGCACUGCUACAGAGGUGGAGGCCAUGAGGUCGCACGCAGCCAACCUGAAAAAGGAGCUCAACAAUAAAACCACAAAGCUGCAGGAUGCCCAGCAGCACAAUACCACCCUUGGCGAAAAGCUGCAGGCGGUGACGGAGGCAGCACUCAGUGUGGAGGAGCGGGCGGUGCAGAUGGAACAGCUGCUCCGGGACCAGGAGCAUACCAUCAAAGAGAUUGAAACUCAGCUGCAACGACAACGUGAGGUCCUUUUCCGAAAGAGUCAGGAACUGCAGGCUCUGAGAGCGAAUGAGAAGAGUGCAGUGGCAGAGCUGUCUGGCAGCCAGACCAUUCUCUCCAACCUGGAGAGCCGUCUCAGCAAACUGGACCAGAAUGCCCUCAAGCAGCAAGAGAUCAUCCACAACCAGGACUUCCAAAUCCAGGUGCUGGAGAGGAAGAUGGCACGUCUGUGUGGCGAACUUGGCACAGAGGAGAAGGAAACACUGGAGAAGCGCACAGCUGAGCUUAUGAAGGCACUGGAGGAGAAGAGGAAGACAGCAGCCACACUCACCAUCCAGCUCAAGAGGGUCCAGGAUGACAUUCGCUGUGUGAGGAAGGAGAUGGAGAAGACCAGAGCGGAAAAGAGAAACCUAACGACAAGGAUAGAGGAGCUGCAUCUUUUCAAUGACACCUCUGACAAAGAGCUGAAGAAACUCUGUCUUAAGAAACAGGACCGCAUGGUGGAGGAUAACCUCCUGAAACUGGAGACCAAGCGCCUGAGUGAGCUGCUGAGCGGCAGGGCAGAUGGCGUCCUCUCGCUGGAGAGGAGGCGCCUGCAGCUGCAGACAGCCAUGCGGGAGCGACAGGAGGAGAUCCGGCUGCACACGGAGAUGCUCGCCAAGCAGCUCAGGACCACUGAUCAGGAGCGCCAGAUGCUCAGUGCUGAGGUGCAUGAGCGACUGUCCAAAAUCGACAAGAUGAAAAAGAGAUAUGAGAUCCUGACUGUCGCCAUGGCAGCACCAGAGGGAGAGGAAGAGAAAUCUCAGGCCUAUUAUGUAAUAAAGGCAGCUCAGGAAAAGGAGGAACUUCAACGUGAGGGCGACAAUUUGGACGCCAAGAUCCGCAAGAUGGAGAAAGAGAUCAAAGCCUUGGAGAACACUCUCCACGUGGUCAAUGACCACAACACUACCUAUCGCAAAUCCUUCAGCAAGGUCACAGAGUCCUGUCCUGAGUAUCAGGAGAAGCUGAGGUUGCAGGAGCAGAAAAGGGCAGCUGAAGAGAAGUACAAGUUCAAAAGACGCCAAAUCAGAGAGCUACAGGAAGACAUUGAGGGCAUGGACAGCUCUUUGAACAACCUUCUGAAGGAAGAAGCUGCUCAGAGUGAGAAAACCAAUGAUGUGCAAGCACGCAUUCUUGCUCUGAGCAAAGACCUCACUUCCCAGCAAGACAAACUGGACAGGGUUGCCAAACAGUGCAAAAGGCUCACAAAGGAAAUUCGUUCAGCCAAAAAGACCAGGGAGGAGACAUUUGAGGAACAGGACAUUGAGCUGAGAGGACUGAAGGACUGCAAUAAGACUAUCAGCAAGAUGCUUCUAGAAGUCAUGGAGCAGCAACCUGACCUCCAGGCUACACUGCAGAUGUACUUCAUACAGGCCAACAUACCACUUUCAUCUCCUGCCUCUACCCCCUCUAGCCGCCAGAGUUCAAAGACAAGCUCAGCGCGCAGUUCUGCGUCUCUCAGUCAGUACAGGUACCACCUCUCCCACUACCAGUGCGAGCAACACCACCAACUCCACCUCUCCUUCUACCUUUGCCAUUACCACCACCUCUACAUCAACUGUGCCCAUCACACCCCCUAAGACCGCAACACAGUGGCCAGCCUUCCCUGUGGUGGCUGGAUUGCGGGCUAUAGUCCGCGCUAAUGUGGAGCUAAAUUCAACUUUAAUCGACUCUACCAUACAGCAGCUCUUACUAUACUUGCCACCACACAGCAUUCGUGUCACUGUAAAAAGCUUUAAGAAGGUAUGAGGACCUACAAUAGUGCCAUAUUCAGACCUAAUUUGUAUCCUGUUUAUUACUCUUAACAUUGGAAAUUGUUGUUAUGCCCUUUACUGUUGCUAUUUGCAUAUAUAUAACAUUUAAACAUUGUACAUAUAAUGUAAUACAAUAAAUAGUACUAAACUAUGUGUUUUUAAAAGCAAAUUAAUAUUAAGGCAUGUGUAUUUGAUUAUUCCACAGAUUAAGACUCAUUUUCUUCUUUGCAUUUAUGUGUCAUGGCAAACAUACUUCCAUAAAAUGAGCCCAUUUUAUACAAUGGUUUUCAAGCUGUGGGCUGCAGUGGUACUGCUAGGGGGCCAUUGGCCAAAAGUUUAUUUUUUCUGUUUUGCAAAGUAAAAAUCCUUCCAAUAUAUACAGAUAUUUCAACAAAUGUAAUUUCAGAUAUGAGAUAUUAUGUAGA